rnacentral:misc_RNA from 1 species
UAAAACGGCAACUUCAUCUCCUUGCUUUGAACACACCUGUACCUGCAGUUUCUCUCCACGCGCGCCUCUCUCCUUGGCUCCGGCCCGUCAUCGACACUCCUGCGGUACCACGCGCACGCAAACGUGCAGAGUUCAAGUGUGAAACGCUUCCGCCUCCAUUCAUGGCGGCAGAGCCCGCACACAACGUUUCUCUCAAAAAGCAAACCAAAACAAAAUAAAACAACGCAUCGAAACAUUGCAAAAAAAAAGGUAAAAAAAAAGACCUCGGCGUCGUCCACUAUCGAAAGCCAUUGUGGCGCAGCACCUGUGCGGCUCUCUGCCAUUACUACAGCUGGUUUGCUUCUCGUGUGCGAGUUAGCCCUUUUCUCAUCCCACUCGUGGACCACCUCUCACAACCCGACAUCGAACGCGCUGAUCAAAGGAGCGCAGCAGGUGCGCUCUAAUUCACUUUUUUUUUCCGGAUUUCGUGUUCGUCCUCGUCCUCCUUGCCGUGUGCUUCGCCGAUCUCCUCUUACAG